rnacentral:rRNA from 1 species
UGACCUCAAAUCAGGUAGGACUACCCGCUGAACUUAAGCAUAUCAAUAAGCGGAGGAAAAGAAACUAACAAGGAUUCCCCUAGUAACUGCGAGUGAAGAGGGAAAAGCUCAAAUUUAAAAUCUGGCAGUCUUUGAUUGUCCG